ensembl:lncRNA
GAAGGAAAGAGAGAGAGAAGGAAAGAGAGAGAGAGAGAGAGAGAGAGAGAGAGAGAGAGAGAGAGAGAGAAGGAAAGAGAGAGAGAGAGAGAGAGAGAGAAGGAAAGAGAGAGAGAGAGAGAAGGAAAGAGAGAGAGAGAGAGAAGGAAAGAGAAGGAAAGAAGGAAAGAGAGAGAGAGAGAAGAAAGAGAGAGAGAAGGAAAGAGAGAGAGAGAGAAGGAAAGAGAAGGAGAGAGAAGGAAAGAGAAGGAAAGAAGGAAAGAGAAGGAAAGAAGGAAAGAGAUAGAGAGAAGGAAAGAGAGAGAGAGAAGGAAAGAGAGAGAAGGAAAGAGAGAGAAAGAGAGAAGGAAAGAGAGAGAAGGAAAGAGAGAAAGAGAGAAAGAAAGAGAGAAGGAGAGAGAGAAGGAAAGAGAGAGAAGGAAAGAAGGAAAGAGAGAGAGAGAAGGAAAGAGAGAGAGAGAAGAAGAAAGAGAGAGAAGGAAAGAGAGAGAGAGAGAGAGAAGGAAAGAGAGAGAAGGAAAGAGAGA